rnacentral:tRNA from 1 species
ACCUGGGUGGCUCAGUCGGUUGAGCGUCUGACUUCGGCUCAGGUCAUGAUCUCAGUAUGUGAGUUUGAGCCCCGCGUCGGGUU